rnacentral:tRNA from 1 species
GGCCCUGUGACUCAGUUGUAGAGUACCUGUUUUGCAUGCAGAAGGUUCCAGGUUAAAUUCCUGGCAUGUCCA